rnacentral:rRNA from 1 species
GAUGGUAGUGUAUUGGACUACCAUGGCUCUCACGGGUAACAGGGAAUUAGGGUUCGAUUCUGGAGAAGGAGCCUGAGAAACGGCUACUACAUCUACGGAAGGCAGCAGGCGCGUAAAUUACCCAAUCCUGACUCAGGGAGGUGGUGACAAGAUAUAACAACGAGACCUUAAAUCUCGAUUGUAGUGAGGGUUUUCUAAAUAGAACCUAUAGUACGAUUAGAGGGCAAGUCUGGUGCCAGCAGCCGCGGUAAUUCCAGCUCUAAUAGCGUAUAUUAAAGUUGCUGCAGUUAAAAAGCUCGUAGUUGGAUUUCAAGGAUUGUAUUCUCUUAUGGGAAUACUUCCUACUAGUCCUCAGACUGUUACUGUGAGAAAAUUAGAGUGUUUCAAGCAGGCUUUCGCAAGAAUACAUUAGCAUGGAAUAACGAAUGUAUUUAGAAUCGUGGUAUAAUUCUAAAUUACGAUUAAUAGAGACAGUUGGGGGCAUUAGUAUUUAAUUGUCAGAGGUGAAAUUCUUGGAUUUGUUAAAGACUAACUUAUGCGAAAGCAUUUGCCAA